UGGGGAGACGGGCGGCGGCCGGGUUACCUGGGAGAGCCUGGGUUGGAAGGGAUGAGACCUUCUCUUCUCUCCGUAGUCCGGCAGCUUCGCUCUUCCCAGCACUUUGCAUUUAUUAAUUUCCGCUUCCUGAAGUCUAGCAACAAGUGGGGGACAGAACCUGCCUCUGUCAGAAAGAGAAACUGAGGUCCCGAGGGUCUCCUCGCUUGGCACAAUGACUGGAAUUUGAGUUGCAUAGGGCCGUCCGACACGUGUUCCCGUCCAGUCCCAGAAAUUGGCGUAAAAAUUAUCCAGCUUCACCUUGGAGAAUUUUGUAAAACAUUUAACACAUAUUCCGUGUGUCUGGAAUGCGACUGGGGAAAAUAUGUAUUUUUCAGCUCCCGUCCCCCGAGGUGAUUCUGAUGUAGGUAGUGUUGGUACAGGAGCCACAUACAGGCAGUCACGUAUUAUUUCAAGUCGACUCCUCGUGGCAAUGAAGUUCAAGUGCAACUGCCAUAAAUAAAGAUAAGCUAUUCUUUAUCCUCAAAAACAGAAAUAUGGUUGGGAGAUUUGCUAGUUUGGCUGGAGGUCGCCUACUGAGAAACUCAGGACAGUUCCCUGAGUGGGUCAUGCCAAGAACUGAGUCUGAAGGGCACCGGGCUGGGCUGAAGCAACAAGGCAGUCUUGUUCUCUAACUCUCUAGACAAUGCUUAAAUACUUAAAUGGCAAAACACACCCUUCCUUGUUGCCAUCACCAGGCCCAGUCAUAACCCCAGGAAGGUGCCUGGAUUCCAACGCCAUCCAGCCCUGCCCAUUCUCCCAAACACAUGCCUCGCCUCCUCCCCGUGUCCUGGACUUCCAUCUGACCCAGAAGCCCCUGCCUGAAAAUGCAGAAACAGAAGCUCACAGAAGACUGGUAAUGUGUCCAAGGUCACAAGACUAGCUUAAGAAAGAGCCAGCCUUCACGACCUCCUAACUGCCUGCUCCAGUGCCUGCCAAAGUGCCCUUCCUUCUUGCCAGAAACAGGACAGCUAACUUCAAAGGGCAAAAGAAGCAAACAUCACUGCACUUCUCCAAAAGACAGUAUAACGAAUAUAGCAGCACUGCCUUGGUGUUUAAGUUCCAUUGCACUAACGUACCAUCUGUUUGACCUUGAACAAGACAUAUCAUUAAAUCCCUGUGAGCCUCUGACUGCUCAUCUAUAAAAGGAGAUGAUGAUAACAAAUUCUGCCUCCUUGGACUGGCAAGAAAACCAAAUCAGUAAAGAAUAUAUAUGAAGGUACAUGUACUUUGAACUUACAAAUGAAAAGAGUGAGUGUUAGACCUUGGUAUCUGUGACUCAGUAAAGUGACCAAUGACAAAGCCCAGGGAUUUUGAUGCUAAAUUCAAAUAUCAAACAAGAUUCCUUACUUUGUCCCCCAAGUAUCUAUAGGAAGAGUUUAGUACAAAGUGAACUAAAUUUUUUCUACCUACAGAAGAGAUAGAAG
ensembl:lncRNA